rnacentral:lncRNA from 1 species
CCGAAAAAGCCCCUGAACCACCACCAAACAAUCACUCUCAAUAAUUAUUUUAGGCAAAUUAUAAGCCACAUAAAAUGAGCAGAACGGGACAAAAUCGAACAUAUUAAUUAAAAUUCACAUAGAUAGAAGAAAAGCCCUUGGCUCUUGGCUGGCUGCUGUUAGAGCAUUGUUGUUGCAUCCUUUUUCUCAUCUCGUCUCCAACAAACCCAGAACUCUCACCUCCCCCGCACAGAUUCAUUCCCCAUACAUCCAUGAUCCAUCAUACCAAACCAUUAUCAUAAGCUUUUAAUUCCUUUUCAUCUCAUAAAAUAAAAACGACUUAAUUAUAGGCCGAAUUCUCACCCGCCCUUGUUUUUUCAGCCAUCUUCUGACUUCGAUUCCUCCUCCAAUUGUCUUCUAAAUCUUCUCUUGCUUCCAGGUUUUCCAUUAUCCCUUUCCCUCUUUCUCAUCCUCUGUAUAUAUGGAUUCUACAUAAUACCUUUUGAUUUUAGAUUUCUCUAAAAGGGGCGGACUUUUGUGUUAAUUUCGCUGUACAUACUCGUUUCCCCUUCCUAGGUUUUGGGGAUUAGGGUUCGUGGGUUGGGAGCUGUAGGGAAUUUGGGUUUCUGGGUUUGCGUAGGCAAGAGGGAA